GUACCCGGCCACCAUCGAGAAGAUCGACUACGAUAAGGAGCGGGUUCUGAUCCACUACCGCCGCUGGAGCCGGCGCCACGACGAAUGGUUCCACUGGAGCUCUCCGUACCUGCGUCCCCUGGAGCGAGUCAGCCUGAGGAGGCAGGGCCUGAACCCCCCGCAGUCCCCCCCGACCUUUGUUUCAGGGAUGAAGGUUCUGGCCUGUUGGACAGACUGUCGCUUCUACCCAGCAAAAAUCCUCAAGGUCAACAAAGACGAUUCUUUCACCGUGCGAUUCUACGACGGCGUGGUCCGGACCGUGAAGCCCACGAAGAUCAAAGCCUUCCUGAAGAGGUCUGAGAGGAGUGCUGUGGGCAGCGAAGGCUGGGAGGAGGGCGAGAGUGAGGAAGAGGAGGAGGAGGAGGAGAUGAGUGAGGAAGACCAGGGGGAGAAGAAGGGAGACGAUGAGGAAAAGAUGACAUCAGAGGAGAAGGAGGGAGCUGAGGAGGAGGAGGAGGAGAGGAAGAUGGAGGCUUCAUCCUCCCAACCACCAUCGAAGAAGAAAACAGGUGAUGAAGCUGACAGUCAGCCAAUCACAGCUGACUCCGCCCUGCCUGCUGUUCCUAACCCCGCCCACGUAGACAGAGACGUCCUGUUGGAGCGUCAGGCCCACCUGCCCACCACACACAAGUUCAGCCGGGAGCCACUGUACAGGGUGAUCAAGAACCAGCCUCCUCCGAUCCUGUCCAUCGAGCUGGACCACAACCCCUUCAAGUGUCCGUCUCCAGACUGUCCCAAGUCCUUCAGGAAGGCCAGCCUGCUGCACUACCACAUCAAGUACUACCACUCAGACCAGCAUCUGGACCCAGAACCACACAGGAGGAAGAGGUCGUCCUCUGACGGGAGCGACUUCACCUGCAGCAGGAAGCCUGAGACCCAGAGCAGCUGUCGCCAUGACCAUACAGAGCAGAGCAUCGCCACAGCAGGUGGGUCGGGUCAGCGCCGGGGUCCACCCGACCUGACCACGUUUCAACCCUGUGACUUCCUGUCAGCAGAGCUGAAGAAGGACAGGAAGGACAGGAAGCACUUCCUGCGGCUCAAACUCAAGAAGAAGAAAAAGAAGAAGAAGAAGAAGAAAAGCCUGCCAGGGUUCUGCUCCAGUGAUGAUGAAGCAUCAGAGACACGUCCAGUCAGUCUGACGCUGUCACAGCAAGUCGACGACGGCAGCGACUGGUCGACUCUGACGGCCGAGAGCGGGGAGGACACGCCCUCGUGGCCCGUUGCCAUGGAGACGGAGGAGUGCGAGGUGGUCAGGUGUGUGUGUGAGGUGGACGAGGAGAACGACUUCAUGAUUCAGUGUGAGUCGUGUCUGUGCUGGCAGCACGGCACCUGUAUGGGCUUAUAUGAGGACAACGUUCCACACAACUACACCUGCUACUACUGCAGACAGAGCACAGGUUGGAGGCGGGCUCAGCGUUUCCUGUCAGAACCUGAUCUGCUGAUGUCAGGUUCCAUGUUUGGUCUGUCCUGUGUGAAGGAGAACUACUCUGAGAUCAACGCCGCCAAGAUUCUGCACACGGGCCGCCUGCUGGCCCACACACACGGCCUGAGCCAGGUCCUGAACGGGCUGCAGCUCAAGAUCAGCCUGCUGCACUCCCCGUCCCACCCCGACCUGCAGCUGUGGAGCUUACCCUGGAGACAGGAGGACGGCCUGAGGCUGGCCUCCAGCCCCACAGGAGAGCCCGCCAUCUGCUACGUCAGCAGUGAGCACUGCUACCAGAAGCCUGGAGCAUCAUGGGAAACUGCAGAGAGGAGCCAGGCCAGACAGGAAGUCCACUCUGAGGACAAGGACAUCAAACCUGGACAGGACAGGUCUGACGUCUCUGUGGACUCACACGUCCUGACGCCGUCACACAGCCAGCUGAGCGUGAAGCCAGAGAGCCAACAGGAAGUGAAGCCCGCGGCGUCUCCGGCUCAGUGUCGUCUCAACCUGCUGGAGCACGUGGAGUCCGUCCACCAGCAGAUCAGCACCAGGAUGGAGCUGAUGGAGCGCGAGUUGGACGUGCUGGAGUCCUGGUUGGACCACACGGGCGAGCUGGAGCCCCCGGACCCUUUGUCCCGCCUCCCGCAGCUCAAGCAGCGAAUCAGGCGCCUGCUGAGUGACCUGUGUGUGGUGAGACGCCUGGCGCUCUGCCGCUGACGGACACGGCAGAGCGCCUCGGUUUGGAGUUGUUUCUGUUUGGUCGUAGCACAGCGGCGCCCCCCGGUGGAGGAGAGGUGCACUUUAACCACGAUGAAAGCUCUUCCAGCAGGASUCGAGGACAGGCUGGAUACUGAUCCAGACACAAAGGGUUAAACCAGGUCCGAAUGAAGGAUGAAGGUCAGAGAACGGUUUCCCCUGCAGGUCCGCUUGAUGUUGGUGUCUUUCUGUCUGCAGUCAGAACUGGUUCUGUUCUGGUCCAGUGGAGCAGCUGGUCCUGCUGGGUUUACAGGACUGGACACUUCACCCACUGAGCAUCGAGCAGAGUGGGAGCAAAUAAACCCAGACAGCAGCCGAAGAGCCGAGAAACAAACUGUCAAAUCAACAAAUGUCCUUUUUUUAAAAAACGUCUCUGAACAUUAAAGUUUCAGAGUUUACACUCAGAGUUUACACUCAGAGUUUACACUCAAAGUUUACACUCAGAGUUUACACUCAGAGUUUACACUCAAACUUUAAACUGUCUAAAAGUUCUGUUUUAAUGUCUUAAAGUUUAAAUUCAGUCAUCCAGAAGUAUUUGACACGUGACUCAUGCUACAAUUUUUCAACAGUUCAUUAAAACAUUUAAGACAUUAAA